CCAGCAGCCGCGGUAAUUCCAGCUCCAAUAGCGUAUAUUUAAAUUGUUGCAGUUAAAAAGCUCGUAGUUGGAUCUUGGAUCGUAAGGGUCAGUCCGCCUACUCGAUGUGCACCUGCCCUUCCGUCCCUUUUUUCGACGGCGUGCUCCUGGCCUUAAUUAGCUGGGUCGUGGUUUAGGCACUGUUACUUUGAAAAAAUUAGAGUGCUCAAAGCAAGCUUAUGCUCUGAAUACAUUAGCAUGGAAUAACGUGAUAGGAGUUUGGUCCUAUUGUGUUGGCCUUCGGGAUCGGAGUAAUGAUUAAUAGGGACUGUCGGGGGCAUUCGUAUUUCAUUGUCAGAGGUGAAAUUCUUGGAUUUAUUAAAG
rnacentral:rRNA from 1 species